rnacentral:rRNA from 1 species
UACGGAGGGUGCAAGCGUUGUCCGGAAUCACUGGGCGUAAAGGGUGCGUAGGCGGGCAGGUAAGUCAGAGGUGAAAUCUCCGGGCUUAACCCGGAAACUGCCUUUGAUACUAUCGGUCUUGAAUAUGGUGGAGGUCAGCGGAAUAUGUCAUGUAGCGGUGAAAUGCUUAGAUAUGACAUAGAACACCCAUUGCGAAGGCAGCUGACUACGCCUAUAUUGACGCUGAGGCACGAAAGCGUGGGGAUCAAACAGG